ACGAACGCUGGCGGCGUGCCUAAUACAUGCAAGUAGAACGCUGAAGAGAGGAGCUUGCUCUUCUUGGAUGAGUUGCGAACGGGUGAGUAACGCGUAGGUAACCUGCCUUGUAGCGGGGGAUAACUAUUGGAAACGAUAGCUAAUACCGCAUAACAAUGGAUGACACAUGUCAUUUAUUUGAAAGGGGCAAUUGCUCCACUACAAGAUGGACCUGCGUUGUAUUAGCUAGUAGGUGAGGUAAUGGCUCACCUAGGCGACGAUACAUAGCCGACCUGAGAGGGUGAUCGGCCACACUGGGACUGAGACACGGCCCAGACUCCUACGGGAGGCAGCAGUAGGGAAUCUUCGGCAAUGGGGGCAACCCUGACUGAGCAACGCCGCGUGAGUGAAGAAGGGUUUCGGAUCGUAAAGCUCUGUUGUAAGUCAAGAACGGGUGUGAGAGUGGAAAGUUCACACUGUGACGGUAGCUUACCAGAAAGGGACGGCUAACUACGUG
rnacentral:rRNA from 1 species